CAGAGAGAGUACAUGGAUAUCACUCUCUGCUUCCUGCAGGCUACAUAUUGAUCAAUACAUAUUUCUCGAUAAGGUAUAGGCAUGUGAGUGAUUCUGAGAAUUCUGCCUUGCUUUCUGGACCUGUACGCAAGCUCCUGUUCUGGCAGCAGUAGGCAAAGAGCACUAAGUGUGAGGUGUCAGUGGGCCUCAGUAACAGCAGUGUGACCUUGCAACAGCCUCCUCAGUCACCAGGCAAUCUCCAGGCUGUUCUGUUCUGCAGCAGACUGCAGUAGUAUGUGCCAAGUGGGUAGAGAGUUGACAACAAGGUCUCAUCUUUCAUUGAAGGCUGGUAACUCUUAGCAACUUGCUGACUUGAAAAGCAGUUGUUGGCAUACCAACACCCACAGAAGAGGGUCAUUUAUAAAACUCACGAAGAGCAGGGAUCCCAGAACAGAUCCCUGAAGCACUCCACUGGUGACCAACCUCCAUGCAGAAUGUGACCUGUCUACAACCACUCUUUGCCUUCUGUGAGCAAGCCAGUUCUGGAUCCACAAAGCAAUGUCCCCUUGGAUCCCAUGUCUCCUUACGUUCUCAAUAAGCCUUGCUUGGGGCAUCUUGUCAAAUGCCUUGCUGAAAUCCAUAUACACUACAUCUAUGGCUCUACCUUCAUCAAGGGAGUAAUGUUACAGCAGAUACACUCAAAUUGAAUGUUGAUACAGGAUCAAGGGCCUGAAUGUCCAGUGGCUUCUCCCAUAUUCCACAAUUGCUCUAUUCCACGGAGUCCACCACUCUUCACUUGAGAAAGCCAAAAAAGGGAAGCAAUUCACCAGACAUUGCAUGAUUUGUUUUGUGGGAAUUUUGCUAAAUUAUGAACUAUUAUUUGCUUAUCAGCAACUUUCCAAUUAUUAGGUUUGGUAACUGCUGUCUAUCUACAAAAUUGAGAGCACUUUCAAGAAGAAUACGAGUGAGAAAAAAGCUGGCCAGUGGAGGAGUAACAUCAACAUCAGGCUUUGAGGCAAGUGGACCACAAGUUCAAAUCCAGCAGGCUCCUUGCAUGCUUUCCAUCUGUGCUGGGUCGAGCGUUGAGCUAACGACCAGGCCUCAUAAAAAAAAACAGUUAAAUGCUACAGAAAAGACAAAGAAAAGUCACCCAAUGCACCACAAGGCACAAAAAGGAACAGCAAUGAGUGAGAAAAGAUGUCAGAAUUCUCUUGCAUUUGUUAUGUUGUUCUAGUGACAUUCACAGACCUGUUGGAAUAUCCAAAAGAAUAUAAGAGACGCAGCAGACAGUUUUACACACCGAGCCUCCCCAAACAACGUUAUGACACCAACAAAUAUUCUAUCUUACUGCUAUUGAGCGAGGUAUAAACAGUAGCCAGAACACAAGAAAAUCUCGUUUAUGUCUCUCUGGGAAAGUAGUUGUUUAAAAUCAUAUUGAAAAGCAGUAGCUUAGCUAUAGGUUUUUAUGGUCAAGUCUCUGAAGUGAUAAUUAAACCCACAGACUGCAUCUCACAAACACAAGUGCUUCCAACUGAAGGAGAGAGAAAUUGUAUUUUUGCCAAGUUUCUGUCCCUUUGAUAUAAUGGCAUUGAAUUUGGGGUCAGAAUGCUGGCUGGAAGAAAGGUUGAAUCCAGAAACAAGUUUAUCAAGUUGAUGUUGUAUGGUGAAUUCGAACAAAAUUAGUUUCUAUCAUAGAAGAGCCCCAGCUGAGACAGUAAUCAUGCAUUGUAGCAUUUUCUGGUGGACACUCUGGGAAAGAUACCACUGUAAGGUGAAGUGCUUGUUCAGAAGGAAAGGGAAAUAUAAUUAACUCACAGUGUUUCGGUGCAUCUCAUUAUGGCUGGCUCAUACUGUGACUCACAAAGAUUUGGGAGUAGGAUACUUCCUCUUCUUGUUUGCUGGGAGGCUGAUUGGUACUGUGGCAGAAAUUUUAAGAAAUGGAACAUAUUUAAUCAGAGAAAAAUAUAUCUCUUAUUGAACAGCAUGUUUGGAUCAAAUUUUUAUACUUAUUCUGCCAAUGUUAAAUGUGUUUUUUGACAAAAUAUCUGGAAAUGGAUUUUGCAAAGAAUCCAUAAAAUAGUUUUGCAAUAAUAUCUCACAAUAUAAUAUGCA